UGUCUCCCAUGUCUAUUGUACUUCAUCAGGUGCUCUGGUGUCCACCGUAACCCGGCACAUGUUGAAGUACACUCAAUAUGAGGCGAAU
rnacentral:pre_miRNA from 12 species